GAGAGCUGGUAUAAAGGGAAGUGACGGUUUCGCGGCCGCCUCCACAGAGACCCAAAUGGCCCUAGGAGCAGAAAAGGGGGAAGAGUGAAAGAGUGGAAGUUGUAAGUGCAGGAGGAAGGUGAUCUUCACAGAGAAAUACUGAGUGAGGGGAGAACAGCAGUUGCACACACAGAGAAAGAGAGAGAAAACAGUGGAAACGUCAGGCAGCAGAAUUUGCAGAACAGAGCCAGAGUGAGGAAGCAACGUGGAAGAGAUGGACAGACUGGGACAGAACAACUGCAAGACAAAAAGUAGUGCUGUGAAAGGAAACAGGAAGAGUGAAGUAGCAGACUUUUCCAACACCAGGAAGGAGCCGCAAAGAUUACAACGACAGAAUCAAGGAAAGCAGCAAAGAUUGAAUAGAAGAAAACUUUAAAGUCGUUUAACAUGUGUAAGCGUGUCAGUAAAAUAAAAAAGGGACAACUGUGUCCAAGGGGGAAAUUAUGAUUUCAAAGUUUACUGAGAAAAAGCAUUCGAAAAGAAAGGGAAAUAUGAGAUCCGAAUAAGUUGGAAGAAUAAGCAGUUGUACGCGCUAUAGGGUGAAGAAAUGUAAUAUACAAUGCCAGGCGCGAAAAGGAAGUUUGGAGAGCUAUGUGCUUUGCUGAAAACACAUGGUGUGUGUGUGUGUGCUCGCAUCCGCCUGGGCAGACUUCAUUCUCCAACGCAGCAGUUUCAAGAAAAGGGAAGGAUACUAUUGGAGAGGAGGCCUGUUGAAGCCUGGAGGACCAGUGGAUAGGAUAAUUAAUGCAAAAUGACUGAUGGCUGUUGAAGAAGGCAAGUCCUGCAAAGAGGAUUGUGCGUGAUCAAUGAAGCAUCACUGACUGACAGUUUCCUUCGAUCUUACACCCAGAUCCAACUACCGGAACGAGGAUUUGUCACCAGCGGCCGGAGGCUACGCAAUGCAUGUUUGCAAUGCAAGGCAAAACGCUGGGAGGAUAAAAAGGGGAAGAAAGAGAAACAAGACGUUUCUUUUUACAAAAAUGAUGUUAUAUAAAAAAAGGCAGCUCGGGAAGAAAUGAUAGGUGUUAAAAAAGUAAUCAGAUAAAUGUGGGAAUGGAAAUGAUUGUUGCAAUAUUGUAUAUAAUGUGUCUAUUUAAAGUUUCCCAAUAUUGUGGUUUUGCGUAGGCUGUCGUUUUGUGAGCUUGUGUGCGGAUUGACAACAUGGGUCUGAGCUACAGAGCUAAAUAGACAUUAAACGUGUUAACACCUACAGUCCAGCAUCACGUCCCGCUCCCCCCACCCCUGCUAUGAAUUGUCAAUUUUAGGCCGGCUUCACAAAUUCGGAACCAACCAACCAGUGGACUUUGGAUCUUGAUUCGGAAGCGUGACCGUCAGAAAGCAGCUUCAUGCAAUAAAAUGGCAAUGUGUUUCAGAGAGGAAAUAGCGCCCUUUUUUUUCUGAAGUGACUGAAAUUCAAAUGAGCAAGGCACCGGGCUGUUCCUUUGCUGUGUGAUUUCGGGAUAGGUUGCAAAUGAGUCUCGGAAAGAGAGAGACUGUUACUUUAAUCCACCGAGCUUUGAGCAAAUGUGAGAAAUCUCUCUAAUAGGACAUUGCAUCUGUGUUGCAUUAUAAGCUGUUGAGGUCACCCUCGUAAAUGCAAGAAGCUAUUGGCACGGCUGCUUCAUUACGAUGCAUUUUAUUGAAGAAAAACGUAAAAGUAAACGGGGCUCGAAAAGACCGAAAAACAGUCUGCAGUCCGUGAAUGUUUCAGUCCGCAUAAUGUUUUUGCGUUUUAGAGGAAUUUGCUGAGAUCUGGACAGAUCACGCUUCGAAAAUGCGGCAUUUUUAUUGCGGGGGUGGGGGUGAAGCGGAGUGAGGAAGAGAGAUCUGCUUUUAGCUUUAAUAAGUUGGAACCUACUGAUAGCCAUAACGACUACUUUUAACAUCAGUUAGGUGAAAGUGUUCCAGAUGCUGCUCGUACUUAGUAUGGACAUUCUAAGUGACUAUAACGGCAAAUCAAAGAAACGUAUAAAAACCGAAAUACCUCAUAAGGUCAGACAUUUCCUUCCUUCUGCUCGAAAAGCUUUUUAUCAACAGUAAAAAAAAAUACAUUUUGCAUAAUGGGCCCUUUAUUGUGCGAUGGCGCUCUCAAACGGUAUCAUAAAGUUACUCACAUAUAAUCGCAUGAAGGAAACUUGCCAAAAUGAUUGAAAAUAAAGAUAGCAAAUCUCCUUUCACGGCCGUGAAGCCUCUUUUGUGGCGUCUGUGAAGCCAAUUUGUGCUAAAUCUUUCCUUUUAUUUAUUUUAUAAAUGAAUCUGUAAGCACGCCACAAUUUACUAAAACCGAGGGCCUUUUAUCACCGAACAUCUGACCAGCUAAAUUCUCAUCGUUUCUUUAAAAAUAGAUUGCUACGAGAGUUAGGGAACCAGUGUGACCACACUAUACCAUACUAAAUAAAUUCCACUUGAACUCUGUGUCCAGUUAACCUUUCUGCUGCAAUCCCUUCAUCUUCUGCCCAGUUUUCACCAGAAAACAAGUUUCCAUAUUGAAAAACAGCGCACGUGCAUUUGUGCAUUAUUUUAUGUAAAGUUCCCAGUACCUUGAGCAUUGCGUGAUGCCUUUACCAGUGUAUUCCUCCUGGCACGGGAAUUUUUGCUGGUUGAUUUUUUUUUAGUUCUAUCGAAUGCAGCACAGACACUACGAACUAAAGAGAGUUCACGACGAGCUCGACGUGGAAAGCUUUCAGAUCAACUGGAGAAGGGGAGAUACCCUUCCCCGCGUUCUGGUUUAUUUAUAUAUUGCAAAACAAAAAGAUGCUCGGGUGACAAUAUCCAGCUCAGUGUCUGUGCUGAUGGGGCAGAGGGUUUUUAAAGAGAUCUGGUUUCGAAUCCCGAUUCCCUCGCCACACAUUUGGAAUAUCCUAUGGAAAAUUAAACAGAUCUGAUAUUCACAGUCAGAACUCACACCUUUAACAUCAAGUUUCAUUAUUGAACAUGCUUACUCCCAGGCGCAUAGGGUGUGCUAUGUGAUAAAUCGCGCUGCCUUCAGUGAGUCAAUUAAAGCGUACCCUUAAACAAAAUAUCAGCACUGCUUUAACACCAGGAGUGUAAAGCAACUCAAAAAUGGCCAAGUUCCUAACAACUAGCUUUUGUCACGCGUUUACACUACAUUCUCAUUUACAAUUGUUGUUCACUUAAACACGUACAAGCUCUUCAUGUAUAAAUUCUCAUCUUUCAUUAAAUGGGAAGUGGGCGGCCCAGGAAAUUCGAAUGCAUGUCCAUCAUUUUUUUGUGUUGUGAAUAUUUUGCGACUUUUCUUUUUGAAUGGAUAUGGCGUUUUCUCGAUAAAUCCUUCGACAAUGUAUAGGAAGAUUCGCCCUUAACCAAUGUAUAGAGGAAAUAAAAUCUAGCGAGAGAUGCACGCUCUGUUUAUUUUUUCUUAAAGAAUCCAAAUCAAAUAUCGUUUUACAACUGAGCAACAAUUUUAGGAGUUUUUUUUGUUUCUGACGGCCUGUCAGUUUUUGAUGUUGAAGUGGAUGUUAAAACAAGUCCCGUUCUUUGCUUUCGGUUUUCCAUAACGGAGUGAGUCUGUCACAUCCAUACUUUUAAAACUGGGAAAGUGAAGUUGGGUGUUCAAACUCCAACUUAUGCAAGGGCUUGGCGCUCCAGCUACAUGCAUGUUGUGGCUCCUCAUAGCUGUUAAUUAUCAAUUUACUAUUCAGCAACAUGAUGAAAACACAAUCGAUGUUCAAGCUGUAAGGGUGGUUAUUAGCAAUCGCUAUCUGUGAUGAAUUUAUGUAUUGUAAUGAAUUUAAUUACCGAUGUAAAUAAAUGUUGUACACUGUA